UGGGGAAUAUUGGACAAUGGGGGCAACCCUGAUCCAGCAAUGCCGCGUGUGUGAAGAAGGUCUUCGGAUUGUAAAGCACUUUCGACGGGGACGAUGAUGACGGUACCCGUAGAAGAAGCCCCGGCUAACUUCGUGCCAGCAGCCGCGGUAAUACGAAGGGGGCUAGCGUUGCUCGGAAUGACUGGGCGUAAAGGGCGUGUAGGCGGUUUACACAGUCAGAUGUGAAAUCCCCGGGCUUAACCUGGGAGCUGCAUUUGAUACGUGUAGACUAGAGUGUGAGAGAGGGUUGUGGAAUUCCCAGUGUAGAGGUGAAAUUCGUAGAUAUUGGGAAGAACACCGGUGGCGAAGGCGGCAACCUGGCUCAUGACUGACGCUGAGGCGCGAAAGCGUGGGGAGCAAACAGGAUUAGAUACCCUGGUAGUCCACGCUGUAAACGAUGUGUGCUAGAUGUUGGGUAACUUUGUUAUUCAGUGUCGCAGUUAACGCGUUAAGCACACCGCCUGGGGAGUACGGCCGCAAGGUUGAAAAC
rnacentral:rRNA from 1 species